UGGGGAAUUUUGGACAAUGGGCGAAAGCCUGAUCCAGCAAUGCCGCGUGUGUGAAGAAGGCCUUCGGGUUGUAAAGCACUUUUGUCCGGAAAGAAAUCCUUGGCUCUAAUACAGUCGGGGGAUGACGGUACCGGAAGAAUAAGCACCGGCUAACUACGUGCCAGCAGCCGCGGUAAUACGUAGGGUGCAAGCGUUAAUCGGAAUUACUGGGCGUAAAGCGUGCGCAGGCGGUUUGCUAAGACCGAUGUGAAAUCCCCGGGCUCAACCUGGGAACUGCAUUGGUGACUGGCAGGCUAGAGUAUGGCAGAGGGGGGUAGAAUUCCACGUGUAGCAGUGAAAAUGCGUAGAGAUGUGGAGGAAUACCGAUGGCGAAGGCAGCCCCCUGGGCCAAAUACUGACGCUCAUGCACGAAAAGCGUGGGGAGCAAAACAGGAUUAGAUACCCUGGUAGUCCACGCCCUAAAACGAUGUCAACUAGUUGUUGGGGACUCAUUUCCUUAGUAACGUAGCUAACGCGUGAAGUUGACCGCCUGGGGAGUAACGGUCGCAAGAUUAAAAACUCAAAAGGAAUUGACGGGGGUCAUAGCUGUUUCCU
rnacentral:rRNA from 1 species